GGGAGAGCGAGCGAGAGAGCGCGGUGGGUGGGCGUGUCCAUGACGUCACCCUCGAGCUCUCCUCAGCGCGCACGGCUGUGGUUUCUCCGGAGCGGAGCUUGAAGUCAGACGCGCCGAGUGAGACGCAGCGCUAUCCGGGGGAUUUAAACCGCUACUCGCCGCCGUCCGUCCGUCCGCGCCCGGAGCUCUCUCUCUCUCUCUAUCGCCUUGGAUCUGCUCUCUCCUUGGAUUAUUACCGUUCUUUAUUCCCCGGCGCGGCGCGCAGGAAGAUGUAAGGAGGUUUUGCGCGUGCAGAAUCACGGAGAACACAGGAACGCGCUCGUUUAAAACAAGCAGGAGCUCCAGUAUCCGGAUGACAGCGUCAGGCAAACGUUCCCAGGGGUGCCGAUGAAAACACACGAGCCAUAAGUUUUGCCUGACUUUGGAGCGAGGAUCUAUUUAUCCGGUCCUACCGAGGCAGCUGAAGAAAACGCCACUAAAAACAGCCGAAGAAUGAAGCAGAAGGAAUAUUAAAAACAGCAGAGAGG